CCUACGGGUGGCAGCAGUGGGGAAUAUUGGGCAAUGGGCGCAAGCCUGACCCAGCAACGCCGCGUGAAGGAAGAAGGCUUUCGGGGUGUAAACUUCUUUUGACAGGGAAGAGGAGAAGACGGGACCUGGCGAAUAAGCCAAGGCUAACUACGGGCCAGCAGCCGCGGUAAUACGUAGGUGGCAAGCGUUGUCCGGAUUUACUGGGGGUAAAGGGCGUGUCGCCGGGUUGACAAGUCAGAUGGGAAAUCCUGCGGCUUAACCGCAGAACGGCAUUUGAAACUGUUGAUCUUGAGUCCUGGAGAGUCCGCCGGAAUUCCUAGUGUAGCGGUGCACUGCGUCGAUAUUAGGCGGACCCCCAGUGGCGACGGCGGUCUGCUGGACCGCACCUGACGGUGAGGCGCGAAAGCGUGGGGAGCAAACAGGAUUAGAUACCCUUGUAGUC
rnacentral:rRNA from 1 species